rnacentral:rRNA from 1 species
GAUGAACGCUGGCGGCGUGCCUAAUACAUGCAAGUCGAGCGAACGGACGAGAAGCUUGCUUCUCUGAUGUUAGCGGCGGACGGGUGAGUAACACGUGGAUAACCUACCUAUAAGACUGGGAUAACUUCGGGAAACCGGAGCUAAUACCGGAUAAUAUUUUGAACCGCAUGGUUCAAAAGUGAAAGACGGUCUUGCUGGCACUUAUAGAUGGAUCCGCGCUGCAUUAGCUAGUUGGUAAGGUAACGGCUUACCAAGGCAACGAUGCAUAGCCGACCUGAGAGGGUGAUCGGCCACACUGUAACUGAGACACGGUCCAGACUCCUACGGGAGGCAGCAGUAGGGAAUCUUCCGCAAUGGGCGAAAGCCUGACGGAGCAACGCCGCGUGAGUGAUGAAGGUCUUCGGAUCGUAAAACUCUGUUAUUAGGGAAGAACAUAUGUGUAAGUAACUGUGCACAUCUUGACGGUACCUAAUCAGAAAGCCACGGCUAACUACGUG